rnacentral:misc_RNA from 1 species
UAGAUAACCAACUUCAGAUUAAGCAGUUUGUUAAUCUUAUACAUCCGUAGUAAAUUAAUACAUGUAUAGAAUUAAAGAGGAAAAGGACAAGAAAAGAUAGGUGGCAUGCUAAAAAGGUUCUUUUUUCUUGGAAGAUAGAACAUACAGAAGUUAAUAGUUAUUUGCAUGCUGCUAUUAUUCAACUAGAGUGCAGUUUUCCAAAGCCCCUUUCAUGCACCUUGACUUAAUUGAUUGGCUUUUUAGACCUUCAAUGGAGGAAAAGGCAUUUGAAAAUGGAGUAGUGUGUCCUGUGCCAACACAAGCCUUUCUUCCUUUCAAACAAGGGAAAAGGAACAUGAAAGAAGAAAAAAAUUAACAGAAAUUAUUAGGCAAGACUAUAUUAUCCUCCCGUCCCUUCAGGAAUCGAACCCACCUAUGAUUAGCUACUUAAAAAGAAAAAAAAA